UCUCUAUUAAGUGUUGGAUUUAGAGUCAGAAGACCCGGUUUUGAAUUCUAUCUCCUCCUCAUUAACUGUGGGAUCUGAAUCAACUGGCUUCUGCUCUCGGGAAAGGAGCCCUGUCCCUACUUGCAAAGAUGGAGAAGGACCUGUUGAUGGUGAGACAACGACGCCUGCCUCAGAAGCUCCUUAGGAGGAUGGAGUCGUAGCUGCAGGACAAAACUGUCAUUGGUAUCUGCACCCGUGGAUCUGUAUGGAUUGACCAUGAAAUCCUUGACUCAAGUUGAUGUGUUUGCAUAUCUAGAUAACGGUGGUGGCUCCAAAUUGAAAUGCAGUAGACCUCUCUUAAAUAAAAGGGUGAGUCUGCCUCACACUAUCCCUAUGCUAUAUUUCAUUGUCAAACAUCAAGAAUCAUGCCAUUAAUUAACUUGGAAAACAAAAUUACUUUAAGUGACUGAAUGCAGGUUCAUUCUGGAGAUUAACACCAGCGGUGCCAAGAACGAUGACUUCCUGAGACCUUCCCACUGCCACACAAAGGAAGUGAUUCUUGAAAAAAGUAACAGCCCUGGUAGAACUGCCUCUCAUUUGCACUCAUGUAGGAAGUUGCCAAAU